rnacentral:tRNA from 1 species
AGGGGUGUAGCUCAGUGGUAGAGCACGUGCUUAGCAUGCACAAGGUCUUGGGUUCAAUCCCCAGUAUCUUUC